rnacentral:rRNA from 1 species
UACGGAGGAUCCAAGCGUUAUCCGGAUUUAUUGGGUUUAAAGGGUGCGUAGGCGGCCUAUUAAGUCAGGGGUGAAAGACGGUAGCUUAACUAUCGCAGUGCCUUUGAUACUGAUGGGCUUGAAUACACUAGAGGUAGGUGGAAUGUGACAAGUAGCGGUGAAAUGCAUAGAUAUGUCACAGAACACCAAUUGCGAAGGCAGCUUACUAUGGUGCAAUUGACGCUGAGGCACGAAAGCGUGGGGAUCAAACAGG